GCCAGGCAUGGUGCUGCAUGCCUGUAGUCUCAGCUACUCAGGAAGCUGAGGCAGGAGAAUGGCUUGAACCCAGGAGGUUGGGGCUGCAGUGAGCCAUGAUUUUGCCACUGUACUCCAGCCUGGGUGACAGAGUGAGCUCCUGUCUCCA
rnacentral:sRNA from 1 species